UAGGGAAUCUUCCGCAAUGGACGCAAGUCUGACGGAGCAACGCCGCGUGAGUGAAGAAGGAUUUCGGUUCGUAAAACUCUGUUGUUAGAGAAGAACAGCGCAUAGAGUAACUGUUAUGCGUGUGACGGUAUCUAACCAGAAAGCCACGGCUAACUACGUGCCAGCAGCCGCGGUAAUACGUAGGUUGCAAGCGUUGUCCGGAUUUAUUGGGCGUAAAGCGAGCGCAGGCGGUCAAUUAAGUCUGAUGUGAAAGCCCCCGGCUCAACCGGGGAGGGUCAUUGGAAACGGGUUGACUUGAGUGCAGAAGAGGAGAGUGGAAUUCCAUGUGUAGCGGUGAAAUGCGUAGAUAUAUGGAGGAACACCAGUGGCGAAGGCGACUCUCUGGUCUGUAACUGACGCUGAGGCUCGAAAGCGUGGGUAGCAAACAGG
rnacentral:rRNA from 1 species